AUUGAACGCUGGCGGCAUGCUUUACACAUGCAAGUCGAACGGUAACAGGCCGCAUGGUGCUGACGAGUGGCGCACGGGUGAGUAAUGCAUCUAAAAGUGCCCCGUCGUGUGGGGUAACUCCUCCACAGAGUAGCUCUUAUCCCAUACGCUCUCUGGCUGAAAGCGUGGGACCGUAUCGCCUCGCGCGCUUGGAGCGGACCAUGUCAGAUUAGGUAGUUGGUGGGGUAAAGGCUUACCAAGCCAACGAUCUGUAGCUGGUCUGAGAGGAUGACCAGCCACACUGGAACUGAGACACGGCCCAGACUCCUACGGGAGGCAGCAGUGGGGAAUUUUGGACAAUGGGCGCAAGCCUGAUCCAGCAAUGCCGCGUGCAGGAAGAAGGCCUUCGGAUUGUAAACCGCUUUUGGACGGAACGAAACGGCGUUGGUUAAUACCCGGCGGUAAUGACGGUACCGAAAGAAUAAGCACCGGCUAACUACGUG
rnacentral:rRNA from 1 species